UGGGGAAUUUUGGACAAUGGGCGCAAGCCUGAUCCAGCCAUGCCGCGUGCGGGAUGAAGGCCUUCGGGUUGUAAACCGCUUUUGUUGGGGAAGAAAUACUCCGGGCUAACACCUCGGGAGGAUGACGGUACCCAAAGAAUAAGCACCGGCUAACUACGUGCCAGCAGCCGCGGUAAUACGUAGGGUGCAAGCGUUAAUCGGAAUUACUGGGCGUAAAGCGUGCGCAGGCGGUUGUGCAAGACCGAUGUGAAAUCCCAGGGCUUAACCUUGGAACUGCAUUGGUGACUGCACGGCUGGAGUACGGCAGAGGGGGAUGGAAUUCCGCGUGUAGCAGUGAAAUGCGUAGAUAUGCGGAGGAACACCGAUGGCGAAGGCAGUCCCCUGGGCCUGUACUGACGCU
rnacentral:rRNA from 1 species